UCUGCAACGAGAAGGAAGAAAGUCCUCAGGACCAGCGCUCCUCCCGACACUACCACCAGCGAUGUUAAAAAAAAAAAAUCAGGAAGUACAAAUGUGAAUUAGCUUCAGAGGGAUGUGGCCUGUAAGUUAAAAGCACAGGCGUGGAGACAGUUUGAGCUGGAGCACCCAGUCUGCCAAGUGCUGUGGUUAUUAUCAUCAAUCAACAUAAAUUGGUGAUGUUGAAGAAUAAAAAAAAGAAUUAGUCACGCCUCAUCCAGAGAAAUUACUCUGCCGAAACCACAGUCCCUUGGGUUUUCUUUGGAGUUGCCUUUUACAGAUCUUAAUUACUCUCCAAGUCAGGGAAGAAAAAAAAAGAAUGAAAAAUGAAAAUCAGUUUCCUUGACAGAGGUGUGUCCCUAAAACCCACCAAGGAUGAGAAACGUUGAUAUUCAUGAAGACCGGCCAUAAAGGUCCCUGCAGGUGAGUGGGAGGUGGAACUCGUCCUGAAAUCUUCCUAAGCCAGCCAAGAAGAUCUCCCCCAACCCUGCAGCUCCACACAGGACAAGGAGAGGGAAGAGGACCCAGGAAGGUCAGCCAGACCACCCAACUCUGCCUCUUUUGGGUUAGGAAAUAUAGGUGUGAAGGAGAAGCCCUAUUGCCUGUGCCCCACCCCCAACCCCAAGGAGAGAACCAACAAGCUUGAAAUACAGCAUUCCCCAGGUGCCCUCAGGAGAGAAAACCCAGGGCCUACAAGAGCAACUUCAAAGCCUAUUUAAGAACUCCUUUUGGGGAAGCUCCAGACUUCAGACCAGUUCAUUGAACAUCAAGGGACCAAUAACCCCCAGGGAAAUUCCAGGCAUAUGAUCUGGCUUGUACCUAGAGCCCCUGGUAAGAGACUCAGAAUUUUAGGAUUAGUCUUGGCAUUCUUGCCCACAGGGUUUGCAACAAUACAACACUGAAGACGACCCCAAGGAGCUUUAAAAGGGACCAGUUCCAGCAGAGUGUAAUGCUCAUGUGGAUUGCUUUGCAGCCCUUAGGAAGAAUAAGUAAGCUAAGAAUAGGAAGAUAAUCCAGAUACUCUGUUCAGUGAGACAGAGCUUCAGAAUGGUGGAAAUGGUGCUGAGUGACUCCCAAGACGAGGACAGAAGAGGUGACCAGCUCCCACCCACCCCUCUCUCUCUCGGAGCACACAGCUUUGCAGCCCUGAGCCACCAGGAAGAAGCCCAGCUACCCAGAAGCUACUGGAGACACCAUGUGGGAAAGAAACCACAGAGACAGAGAGAGAGGCCAGGGAGCCCGGCUGUUCACUUCUUCUCCGCCCUGUGCAGGCGUGUGAGCGAGGCUUCAGGAUAAUGAAAGCCCUUGCGAAUGCUGGAGUCCCUGUGCCCCAAGUUCUUGACCUCUGUGAAGAUUCAAGGUAAGUUAGCAAAAGCAUGGAGACAAUUGUGAU